GGAGGCGUGUGGGUGCCUGGUGGCCCUCCCGGUCUUCAAAACCGAGGGGCCCGAGGAUCUCGGGCCGGCGGGUUCGAUUCCCGUCCGUCUCCG
rnacentral:tRNA from 1 species